rnacentral:rRNA from 1 species
UACGUAGGGGGCAAGCGUUGUCCGGAUUUAUUGGGCGUAAAGAGCGUGUAGGCGGCCAGGUAGGUCUGCUGUGAAAACUCGAGGCUCAACCUCGAGACGCCGGCGGAAACCAUCUGGCUAGAGUCCGGAAGAGGAGAGUGGAAUUCCUGGUGUAGCGGUGAAAUGCGCAGAUAUCAGGAAGAACACCCGUGGCGAAGGCGGCUCACUGGACCGGCAUUGACGCUGAGGUGCGAAAGCGUGGGGGAGCAAACAGG